rnacentral:rRNA from 1 species
AGGAUGAACGCUGGCGGCGUGCUUAAUACAUGCAAGUCGAGCGGUAAGGCCCCUUCGGGGGUACACGAGCGGCGGACGGCUGAGUAACGCGUGGGAACGUACCCCAAAGUGAGGGAUAAGCACCAGAAAUGGUGUCUAGUACCGCAUGUGCUCUAAGGAGUAAAGCUCCGGCGCUUUGGGAACGGCCUGCGUUCGAUUAGCUUGUUGGUGAGGUAAUGGCUCACCAAGGCGACGAUCGAUAGCUGGUCUGAGAGGAUGACCAGCCAGACUGGGACUGAGAACGGCCCAGACUCCUACGGGAGGCAGCAGUAGGGAAUUUUCCACAAUGGACGAAAGUCUGAUGGAGCAACGCCGCGUGCAGGAUGAAGGCCUUAGGGUUGUAAACUGCUUUUAUGUAUGAAGAUUAUGACGGUAGUACAUGAAUAAGGAUCGGCUAACUCCGUGCCAGCAGCCGC